GAUGAAGAACGUAGCGAAAUGCGAUACGUAAUGUGAAUUGCAGAAUUCAGUGAAUCAUCGAGUCUUUGAACGCACAUUGCGCCCCCUGGUAUUCCGGGGGGCAUGCCUGUCCGAGCGUCAUUGCUGCCCUCAAGCACGGCUUGUGUGUUGGGCCUCCGUCCUCCUCCCGGGGGACGGGCCCGAAAGGCAGCGGCGGCACCGCGUCCGGUCCUCGAGCGUAUGGGGCUUCGUCACCCGCUCUUGUAGGCCCGGCCGGCGCUUGCCGACACAUCAAUCUUUUUUCCAGGUUGACCUCGGAUCAGGUAGGGAUACCCGCUGAACUUAAGCAUAUCAUAAGCGAGGA
rnacentral:misc_RNA from 1 species